rnacentral:rRNA from 1 species
UACGUAGGGUGCGAGCGUUAAUCGGAAUUACUGGGCGUAAAGCGUGCGCAGGCGGUUCGUUGUGUCGGUGGUGAAAUCCCCGGGCUUAACCUGGGAAUGGCCAUGGAAACUGGCGAACUGGAGUGUGGCAGAGGGGGGUGGAAUUCCGCGUGUAGCAGUGAAAUGCGUAGAGAUGUGGAGGAACACCGAUGGCGAAGGCAGCCCCCUGGGUCAAGAUUGACGCUCAUGCACGAAAGCGUGGGGAGCAAACAGG